rnacentral:lncRNA from 1 species
AGGCGGGAGUCGGGGAAGGGGGGGCGGGGGGGGACCGAGCCCGGGAGGAAACGCUCAGCGCCGUCGCCCCGCCCUCCGCGCGUUGCGAUUGGUCGGAUGGAGCGUCGCUCGGAGUGUCCGGGGGAAGCGAUUGGUGGGCUGUGUGGAGGAGGGGGCGGGGCGAGGCGCGUUCAAGGCGGCCGUUGGAAUUGGCGGGAAGCGCUGUCAGUUAGAGGGGGCGGGGCGACGGGAGCGCGCGCGGCGCGCCGUUGGACGAGCGUCACCGCGCCGCGUCGCCAUUGGUCCCGAGGGACGCCCGUCAGCCGGAGGGCGGGGCCGCGCCGCUGCGCACGGGUUUGAAAUUCAACGGCCGCAGCGGCCCCGCCCACUCCGCGCGGUGCACGCCGGGAAAGAACGGGGGGGCGUGGUGCGAGGGGCGUGGCUUCGGGGUUGAGGGGGCGGGGCCGGACGAGGCGGGGCCAAUAGGGGCGGGGCGCGGGGUGAAGGGGGGCGGGGCCAAAAAGAGGCGGAGCCAAUGGGGGGCGGAGGGAACGGCCGCGGGCCGCUGUGGGGCGGGGAUCGGAUCUAUGGGAUCUAUAGGGCACGAGGCCCUCGGGUCGGCCUGUGGGGCCGCUGUGGGGCUGGAGUGACCCCAUGGGGUGCUUAUGGGGCAGCUAUGGGGCAGGCACACCCAAUAUGGGGUGGUUAUGGGGCAGCUAUGGGGCAGUGACCCCCUAUAUGGGGUGGUUAUGGGGCAACUAUGGGGCAGGGACCCCCUAUGGGGUGGUUAUGGGGCAGCUAUGGGGCAGGGACCCCCACUAUGGGGCAGCUAUGGGGGAAAGACUCCCCCUAUGGGGCAGCUGUGGGGCAGGCACCCCAAUGUGGGGUGGUUCUGGGGCAGCUAUGGGGCAGGGACCCCUCAAUAGGGCUGUUGUGGGGCAGCUAUGGGGCAGUGACCCCCCUAUGGGGCAGCUAUGGGGCAGAGACCCCCCAAUAGGGCUGUUGUGGGGCAGCUAUGGGGCAGGAACCCCCAAUAUGGGGCAGCUAUGGGGCAGCUAUGGGGCAGAGAUCUCCCUUAUGGGGCAGCUAUGGGGCAGAGACCCCCCCCCCUUUAUUAAUGGGACCGGAAGCCCCUCUUAUGGGGCACAGGCCGACCUAUGGGGCCGGCAGCGCUCUAUGGGGCCGCCCUGCAUCCUGCAGUGGGGCAGUGACCCCCCCCCAAAAAAAAUGACCCCCAUCGGGGUUCUCUGCCCCAUUGCUGCUCCCCUCUGCCCCACAGCGGCGGCCCUGACCCCCCACCCCACACAUCCCCCCCCCCCGGGGGUCCCCGCGCCCCAUAUCCGUAAUCCCAGUCCCGAUUUAGUCCCUAUAAUCCCGGGAUCGGCCUCGUUAACUCCGGGCCUUAACGAGCUUAGGGGCGCUCAGCCCCAUAGCGGGGGGUCUGGGGGUGUGGGGUGCGCUGUGGGGUGGGGUGGGGUUGUGGGAUUUGGGGUGCCAUAG